AGAGUUUGAUCCUGGCUCAGGACGAACGCUGGCGGCGUGCCUAACACAUGCAAGUCGAACGGACGAGACCUCUUCGGAGGUCAAGUUAGUGGCGGACGGGUGAGUAACGCGUGAGUAACCUGCCUUACAGAGGGGGAUAACGUUUGGAAACGAACGCUAAUACCGCAUAACGUAUAUUUAUCGCAUGGUAGAUAUACCAAAGAUUUUAUCGCUGUAAGAUGGACUCGCGUCUGAUUAGAUAGUUGGCGGGGUAACGGCCCACCAAGUCGACGAUCAGUAGCCGGACUGAGAGGUUGAACGGCCACAUUGGGACUGAGACACGGCCCAAACUCCUACGGGAGGCAGCAGUGAGGGAUAUUGCACAAUGGGCGCAAGCCUGAUGCAGCAACGCCGCGUGAGGGAUGACGGUUUUCGGAUUGUAAACCUCUGUCUUUGGUGAAGAUAAUGACAUUAGCCAAGGAGGAAGCCACGGCUAACUACGUGCCAGCAGCCGCGGUAAUACGUAGGUGGCGAGCGUUGUCCGGAUUUACUGGGUGUAAAGGGAGCGCAGGCGGGAUUGCAAGUCAGUGGUGAAAUGUAUGGGCUUAACCCAUAAACUGCCAUUGAAACUGUAGUUCUUGAGUGAAGUAGAGGCAGGCGGAAUUCCGAGUGUAGCGGUGAAAUGCGUAGAUAUUCGGAGGAACACCAGUGGCGAAGGCGGCUUGCUGGGCUUUUACUGACGCUGAGGCUCGAAAGUGUGGGGGAGCAAACAGGAUUAGAUACCCUGGUAGUCCACACUGUAAACGAUGAUUACUAGGUGUGGGAGGUCUGACCCCUUCCGUGCCGCAGUUAACGCAAUAAGUAAUCCACCUGGGGAGUACGGCCGCAAGGCUGAAACUCAAAGGAAUUGACGGGGGCCCGCACAAGCAGUGGAUUAUGUGGUUUAAUUCGAAGCAACGCGAAGAACCUUCCCAGGUCUUGACAUCAAGUGACGAACCAAGAGAUUGGUUUUCCCUUCGGGGCACGAAGACAGGUGGUGCAUGGUUGUCGUCAGCUCGUGUCGUGAGAUGUUGGGUUAAGUCCCGCAACGAGCGCAACCCCUGCCGUUAGUUGUUACGCAAGAGCACUUUAAUGGGACCGCUACCGACAAGGUGGAGGAAGGUGGGGACGACGUCAAAUCAUCAUGCCCCUUAUGACCUGGGCUACACACGUAAUACAAUGGUCGUUAACAGAGGGAAGCAAAGCCGCGAGGCAGAGCAAACCCCUAAAAACGAUUUCAGCUCGGAUUGCAGGCUGCAACUCGCCUGCAUGAAGUUGGAAUUGCUAGUAAUCGCGGAUCAGCAUGCCGCGGUGAAUACGUUCCCGGGCCUUGUACACACCGCCCGUCACACCAUGGGAGUUUGUAACACCCGAAGUCAUUAGUCUAACCGUAAGGAGGACGAUGCCGAAGGUGGGAUAAGCGACUGGGGUGAAGUCGUAACAAGGUAACCGU
rnacentral:rRNA from 1 species